rnacentral:tRNA from 1 species
AAUUUUUGGUGUAUGGCACAAUAAAUUUUGAAUUUAUAAGAAAUGUAUCAAAUCAUUAAAAUUA